rnacentral:rRNA from 1 species
CCUACGGGAGACAGCAGUGGGGAAUAUUGCACAAUGGGGGAAACCCUGAUGCAGCGACGCCGCGUGAGUGAAGAAGUAUUUCGGUACGUAAAGCUCUAUCAGCAGGGAAGAAAAUGACGGUACCUGACUAAGAAGCCCCGGCUAACUACGUGCCAGCAGCCGCGGUAAUACGUAGGGGGCAAGCGUUAUCCGGAUUUACUGGGUGUAAAGGGAGCGUAGACGGCAGCGCAAGUCUGGAGUGAAAUCCCAUGGCUUAACCAUGGAACUGCUUUGGAAACUGUGCAGCUAGAGUGCAGGAGAGGUGAGCGGAAUUCCUAGUGUAGCGGUGAAAUGCGUAGAUAUUAGGAGGAACACCAGUGGCGAAGGCGGCUUACUGGACUGUAACUGACGUUGAGGCUCGAAAGCGUGGGGAGCAAACAGGAUUAGAUACCCGGGUAGUC